rnacentral:rRNA from 1 species
CAAGUGUUAUCCGGAAUCACUGGGCGUAAAGCGUCUGUAGGUGGUUUAGUAAGUCAACUGUUAAAUCUUGAAGCUCAACUUCAAAAUCGCAGUCGAAACUAUUAGACUAGAGUAUAGUAGGGGUAAAGGGAAUUUCCAGUGGAGCGGUGGAAUGCGUAGAGAUUGGAAGGAACACCGAUGGCGAAGGCACUUUACUGGGCUAUUACUGACACUCAGAGACGAAAGCUAGGGUAGCAAAUGGGAUUAGAUACCCCAGUAGUCCUAGCUGUAAACAAUGGAUACUAGAUGUUGGGCAGAUCGACCUGUUCAGUAUUAAAGCUAACGCGUUAAGUAUCCCGCCUGGGAAGUAUGCGCGCAAGCGUGAAACUCAAAGGAAUUGACGGGGGCCCGCACAAGCGGUGGAGCAUGUGGUUUAAUUCGAUGCAACGCGAAGAACCUUACCAGGGUUUGACAUGAUACGAAUUUUCUUGAAAGAGAAAAGUGCCGUUUGGAACGUAUACACAGGUGGUGCGUGGCUGUCGUCAGCUCGUGUCGUGAGAUGUUGGGUUAAGUCCCGCAACGAGCGCAACCCUUAUUUUUAGUUGCCUUUUAUGGAACUCUAGAAAGACUGCUGGUUAUAAACCGG